rnacentral:rRNA from 1 species
UACGGAGGGUGCAAGCGUUAUCCGGAUUCACUGGGUUUAAAGGGUGCGUAGGUGGGCAGUUUAAGUCAGUGGUGAAAUCUCCGGGCUCAACCCGGAACUGCCAUUGAUACUAUCUGUCUUGAAUAUCGUGGAGGUAAGCGGAAUAUGUCAUGUAGCGGUGAAAUGCUUAGAUAUGACAUAGAACACCAAUUGCGAAGGCAGCUUACUACCCGAAUAUUUGACACUGAGGCACGAAAGCGUGGGGGAUCAAACGG